GUCUCUGUGGCGCAAUUGGUUAGCGCGUUCGGCUGUGAACCGAGUGUUUGGUGGUUCGAGCCCACCCAGGGACG